UACGAAGGGGGCUAGCGUUGCUCGGAAUCACUGGGCGUAAAGGGUGCGUAGACGGGUCUUUAAGUCAGGGGUGAAAUCCUGGAGCUCAACUCCAGAACUGCCUUUGAUACUGAGGAUCUUGAGUUCGGGAGAGGUGAGUGGAACUGCGAGUGUAGAGGUGAAAUUCGUAGAUAUUCGCAAGAACACCAGUGGCGAAGGCGGCUCACUGGCCCGAUACUGACGCUGAGGCACGAAAGCGUGGGGAGCAAACAGG
rnacentral:rRNA from 1 species